rnacentral:rRNA from 1 species
UACAUAGGGGGCAAGCGUUGUUCGGAAUUACUGGGCGUAAAGGGCGCGUAGGCGGCCCGCUAAGUCGAACGUGAAAUCCCCGAGCUCAACUCGGGAACUGCGUCCGAUACUGGUGGGCUUGAAUCCGGGAGAGGGAUGCGGAAUUCCAGGUGUAGCGGUGAAAUGCGUAGAUAUCUGGAGGAACACCGGUGGCGAAGGCGGCAUCCUGGACCAACACUGACACUGAGGAGCGAAAGCCAGGGGAGCAAACGGG